GGGGACUUAGCUCAGUGGUAGAGCACUUGCCUAGCAAGCGCAAGGUCCUGGGUUCCAUCCCCAGCUCUG
rnacentral:tRNA from 1 species